GCUGUGAUGGCCGAGCGGUUAAGGUGUUGGAGUCGAAAUACAAUGGGGUUUCUCUGCGCAGGUUCAAACCCUGCUCACAGUG